rnacentral:rRNA from 1 species
GUGGGGAAUAUUGGACAAUGGGCGCAAGCCUGAUCCAGCAAUGCCGCGUGUGUGAAGAAGGUCUUCGGAUUGUAAAGCACUUUCGGUGGGGACGAUGAUGACGGUACCCGCAGAAGAAGCCCCGGCUAACUUCGUGCCAGCAGCCGCGGUAAUACGAAGGGGGCUAGCGUUGCUCGGAAUGACUGGGCGUAAAGGGCGCGUAGGCGGUUUGUACAGUCAGGUGUGAAAUUCCCGGGCUCAACCUGGGGGCUGCACUUGAUACGUAUGGACUGGAGUGGGGAAGAGGGUCGUGGAAUUCCCAGUGUAGAGGUGAAAUUCGUAGAUAUUGGGAAGAACACCGGUGGCGAAGGCGGCGACCUGGUCCUUGACUGACGCUGAGGCGCGAAAGCGUGGGGAGCAAACAGGAUUAGAAACCCGGGUAGUCC